AGGGGUUUGGUAUCAUGGGGCUCAGAGCGAACGCUGGCGGCGUGCCUAACACAUGCAAGUCGCACGAGAAAGGGGUGGCAACACCCCCGGUAAAGUGGCGAACGGGUGAGUAACACGUGGGUAACCUACCCCCGGGUCAGGAAUAACCUGCCGAAAGGCGGGCUAAUACCGGAUAAUGACCGGGGAUCCUCGGAUCCCCUGUCCAAAGCCGACCUCUUCACGAAAGUUGGCGCCUAGGGAGGGGCCCGCGUCCCAUUAGCUAGUUGGUGAGGUAAUGGCUCACCAAGGCUCCGAUGGGUAGCCGGCCUGAGAGGGCGACCGGCCACAGUGGAACUGAGACACGGUCCACACUCCUACGGGAGGCAGCAGUGAGGAAUCUUGCGCAAUGGGCGAAAGCCUGACGCAGCGACGCCGCGUGGACGAUGAAGGCCUUCGGGUCGUAAAGUCCUGUCGGGUGGGAAGAAUUGGUCCGGGGCUAAUAUCUCCGGAUCUUGACUGUACCACUAGAGGAAGCCCCGGCUAACUCCGUGCCAGCAGCCGCGGUAAUACGGAGGGGGCCAGCGUUGCUCGGAAUUAUUGGGCGUAAAGGGCGCGUAGGCGGCCGAGCAAGUUUGAUGUGAAAUCCCACGGCUCAACCGUGGAAUUGCAUCUCAUACUGCCCGGCUGGAGUCUGGGAGAGGGAAGUGGAAUUCCCGGUG
rnacentral:rRNA from 1 species